ensembl:lncRNA
CACCAUACCAACUGAUCUGUAUCCCCAGCCCUGGCUCAAGUUCUUCUGUUAAAAAGUAACCCGCAGGCAAACCUGCUUUCUACAAACACAAGAGUGUUUCCCAUUUCCUAGGACGUUUGCCACGCACCCUGGGGAGAGGGCAGAAACCUAUGCCACUCUGACAACCUAAAAGAUGUAAAUGAAGCCUUUGCAGAGCCCCAUUUUAAUGCUCUAAUCUGACCUCCACAAGACCCAGAUGCAACCUAAAGUAUUCUGCCAAGACAGCCAAGAGGAGACCCAACUCUACGGCAGGAGACAGCACACUAGACCAGGGUGUGAAAUAGCCUGGGGCUCAGCCAGUCGCCUGUAGAUGUGGACAACUCCCACUUCCCAAAUAGAUUAUUCCAAAGCAAGAAAUACACAUCAGUUCCAGACGGCUUGAAAAAUGCAGCUCCUAAUUUACUCAUCCUUAGGUAUGAAUCUCUCCACAGAAGCCUCUUAUCUUUCCAUCUAUGGCUGUUUCUCCCAAGUAGUAGCCCUGGUGCUGGAGCCCGGCGUUGAGCCGUCUGGUGAGGAUGCCAGAUGGCUUCUUCUUCCCAGGGAUGGCCACAUUCGUCCCAUAUGGGUUAAGCUUGUGGACUUUGGUUUUUAUUACAUUAUGUUUAUAGUACCUUAAUUUUUAAAUGGCUUCCAGUUUUUGUUAGACAUAAGGGAAGUGCAAUAAAACACUUGGAAUUACAAGAGCCUGGGCACAGUCAGAGACGGCAGAACCUUGCAAUAAACUGCUGGCUAUGGGAGGGUAGAUACUGGAUGGUAGAGAUAAGACUGGAUUCUGUGCUUGUCAUGGGCCUGUGAACCUUAAUACUAGGCAGGAGGGGGACAGACUACACAUGAGACACAGGCCCUCCCAGAGAGCUUUUCACUUCCUCAGAUUUGGCAGCAAGUGCUGACUCUGGAGACAACCAGAUGUAGCCUAGCAACCGGGUUCAUUAUAUACACGUUAUUGGUCAGAAAGAUGCAGCAGCAAUACCACAGCUAAGUGGAAGGACAAGGUUCUGUUGCUGGGUGCAGCCUCGCUAAGCCUGAGCAGGGAACAGCCACCUGGGUACAGACCCACAGCCUCCAGAGGAGGGAGCCCUAGCCUCAUCUUAGUCACCUAACCACACCUUAAACAUCUGGAACUCCCAGAUGCCGGGAAGACAGUCAUGACCACAAGUAUAGUGGGAUGAGCGAGCUAUUUCUGAAGCUCACCUCUGGCGUAAACAUAUACGCCAUAUCCAUGGCCAUUCAGGAAGGUGUCAUCAGCAUUCUUCAUAGUGGAUUUGGCAACAAAACAGGGCAUUUUCUUUCGUUCUCAGCAAAGGCAACUUUGAGUUGUUCUGCUCAAAUCUCUGCCUUCCAGAACUUACUAAACAGUGACAGAUCUUCAGCCAAGCAUACAUUGAAGACUUUCUCUACAGAUGGGCUGGGGAAAGGAGGUGGGAAGUAUAGACCUCAUUGCUCAGAAGUGGUGCCAACAGACACUGACCACCAAUGCUAACAGUACCCACAGCCCUACCUCCCUGGGCUGGCCCGUCAGGUCUUGCCUCAAGCUCAUGGACUGUCUUGGUUCAGAAUGCAUCUUGCAGCCUUCAGACUCCUCACCUGCACUCCGUAGAACAACAUGCUGCCAAGAACCACAGGAAUGUGUGGCCACCUCCAGCAACUUCAGCCUCCGGGGCUAGACAGAGCUUUGAUGCAGCCGCCAGGAUGGGAUCCUGGAGCCAGUGUGGGAAGCUUGUUGCCUGGCCUGGGAACAAGCCCAGGCAUCCCAGCUCAAGGCCUCCCUCUGCCUGACUUGCUGGGAUAAGAAGCAGGAGGCCUGGUGAGACACGAGUUCUAGAAAAGGAAGUGGCAGGCCUCCUCCAUUGCUUACAUGCUAUCUGGCAUGGACACGUUGGAGGACUUUAUGUGUGCCCAUGACACUGUGGAAUGGACACUUCCUUGGCUUUCCUUUCACUUAUCAUGAAUCAGCCAGUGUCUUCCAUCCAUCCAUCCAUCCAUCCAUCCAUCCAUCCAUCCAUCCAUCCAUCCAAUUAAUCAACACAUCUUGGAUCCAUCCCCAUGCCUAGCUCAGGACUGGAUUCCCAUGGAGAUAGAUGGACUAUUAGAUUCUGUAUUUGCUGGGAACAGCAUACAAUGACAGGGACUGCCAGCAGUAGGCUGGAAUGGAGACAUCUUAGAAGCCCACAGCAGCUCCUUGUAAAGAAAGGUGGCUUCUGGGACCCUGAGAAGCAGGAGACACAUCCCUCCAGGGAACCUGCCAUCUGAAAUAAGAGGCUGCCUGCAGUAGGCCGGGAUGGAGACAUCUCAGUAGCCCACAGCAGCUCUUUGUAAAACCUGGUUGUUCCCAUUUCUCCUAACCUUAGCCCUGGACAACGGCUGCAUAGAUUUCAUUUGUGCAUGACUGCCUUUCAGGUGGCCUUGGUGUGCACAAUUAUUCUAUUAUAUCUGACUUUCCUACUUCUUUCUCCUUCUGCUCUGGUGAAUUCUGUGAAACUAGAUGUUCCUUGAUGUUAUGAUUCUUAAACAAUUGGAAACUGAGGCAUAGGGACACAGCACAGCACAGCCCUAAGGGCCCAGGUGCAUGCUGUGUGUUCUCAUCUUGGAAACAAUGUAAUAACUGCACAAUAGUAGCUCCAGGUUAAUGCUUGACUUGCAAAGAAACUUUAAAGAAGUUAUUAGAAUAUUAAUUAGAGCCAACAUUGGGAUGUUAAGAAAGGAAAAAGUUAUUGACGUUAGGAAAUAAGUUUUACAUAACAUUUGAGAGUGGUCCCUGGAUAAGGAAG